ensembl:lncRNA
UGUGGAACCCAGCAGAGGCGCUCCCAUAUUCCUGCAGCGCGCGGUGGGCCGAAGGAGGCGGUCAGAGAACCGACCACGUUGGACACCAAACAAACUUUUUGUUCUUAAUGAAAUGAGACGAGAGGGAGCAGAAACUGGCCCGUCACAUUUAAGGGCAACUGAUUCUUAAGCACUUAAGAAGCUUUAGAGCAAUCAACGACAGACUUCUGGGCAACGUUUUGACUUUAGGCGUGAAAUUCUGUCCGAUUUGACUUUGAUGGUUGCUGGCUGGUUUUGUUACUACGGCGAUAACAUGAGGGGAUUUUAUGAACUCCAGGGUCAAUGAAUCUUGUGUCUGUAGUGGAUUCAGAUUCGAUGACUUGGUAUCCAAAAUGAAACUACGAAUCUUCAAAGCAUCUUGGUUCAGUUAACCAGCAAAUUAAAGAGAUUAUAAUAUUUUGCGCUUUGUGCUUAUUACAAAGUGAAAUCCAAAAAUCAUUUUUUUUGUUCUUAACAUUGGUCCUGCUAAGGUUUUAGUUAUUUGAGCUUAUUACAGACGUAUUCCUUGAUAAGUUACAAACACAUCUCCAUGACAUCAUUAUAUCACCCAAGUAUCUGUGCCUGGUUGGUAGUUGCUUAAUUAUUUUUCCCUCUGAGCUGUCAAACCUGGCUAAUUAAUUCCAGGCGGGUUUAUUAAGCUCUGUGAUUUAGUUCACACUCAAUAGUUUUGCCUCCAAAAAUCUUUCAGUUGGAGCUGCGAUGGACACUUUGCUCUCUGCAGGCUGUCCGACUUUGUGUUUUGCAUUCUGAUUAAACGCCGCUGUCGACUGCAGCUGUAGUUUAGAUUUUCUGUAUGUAAUUUGAACCUACACACACACACACACACACACACACACACACACACAGUCGCCAGUCCAUCUGCUCUCAGCUGGCUGCUGUUAGUGCUACACGGCCAGCUUCCCCACACACACACACACACACACAGAUCAAUACUGUCAUCUAAUGUAGUGCUGCCAGUUUCUCCAUCUCCACUGCAUUUAUAAACACACACACACACACACACACACACGCACUUUCUCCCGCGUGUAAAGAUGAUGGUCCAGCCAUCUGCUGGAAAGUGAGGCACGUGUCGGGUUCCCUGGUGGAGUCAUUAAUCUCAGGCCCUGAGUCUGUUGACCGCACACACACACACACACACACACCGUGUCAGGUUGGCCUACACAAACACUACCCAUACUCCCUCCGUCCCGUCCCGGUCGGUUCAGCAGUUACACGGUUUGCAGUUUGUUUGACCUCCAGCCAGUGUUUACCCAUCAUGCACUUCUGCUGCUCCGUGGCAGAGGCCCACAAACCAGACGCGUCGCUGGGAAAGUUUGUCGGCCAGCUGGGAAGUGGAAUAGCAAGCUGGGAUUUGAGAGCAUGUGUGAGGAAUUGUGCCACCGGCUGGUGGCUCGUCAGAAACAUCCGUGCCGAUGCAACGCGCACGUUUCCAUACUGACACGUGGUCACUUCACGUGAACGCUUUUUGACAUUCAACCAAGUUAAGAAAUCAUUUGAUAUACACAAUCAUCGCUGAACCCUUUUUUUGAAAUAUAUUUAAAAUCAGAAACCAUCUGGUGAAAAGAAUAAGCACCUUAUCAUUUGGCCCCAGCUUCCCGCUCCUGAAAGUUAAUAAUACUCAAAGGCAGCGGUGCAUUUUAUGAAGACUUCCAUUGUUAUCUUACUGUUUUCACAAGGUAGUUUUGACUUUUAUGACUUUUCAUAUUGGUGAUUGUUGAGAAAAAUGCUGUGGCAAACCCUCCACCCGAAAGUCUCAACUUACUUUCGUUUGAGCGUGGACCAAAUCAGAAUCUGAGCCUGUGAACUCGUGCAGAAGAGUCUCUCCCUGCCUGCUAACGGGUACGGAACGGUGUCCUGUGGAUUGAUGGAAGCAUCUGCUGUGGUUUUGUCUCUGACGAGCUUCUGUGCACCUCUGACUCGGAUCACGUAGAGAAACCAGCUCAGAGGAGCAUGUGACGUUGGGUAUGACGAGGUGAAGCCUCGUUACCACACACACACACACACACACACACACACACGGGCGUUCUGAUCCACGUUACAUGAGAUUCAGUGAUGUUUUAAUGUGCACAGUUUGCAUCUGUCUGACGGGGACUGGACUCCUACAGUCAAAGGCAGUGUUUGGGGUUUGUCUUUAAAGAGCGAUUAUGAGGAGGAGGCGGCACAAAGACCGGAAAAGCAUUGCUAGAGUAAAACCAGU